rnacentral:rRNA from 1 species
GACGAACGCUGGCGGCGCGCCUAACACAUGCAAGUCGAACGGGCGAGCGAGAGCUUGCUUUCUCGAGCGAGUGGCGAACGGGUGAGUAACGCGUGAGGAACCUGCCUCAAAGAGGGGGACAACAGUUGGAAACGACUGCUAAUACCGCAUAAGCCCACGGUGCCGCAUGGCACAGAGGGAAAAGGAGCAAUCCGCUUUGAGAUGGCCUCGCGUCCGAUUAGCUAGUUGGUGAGGUAAUGGCCCACCAAGGCGACGAUCGGUAGCCGGACCGAGAGGUUGAACGGCCACAUUGGGACUGAGACACGGCCCAGACUCCUACGGGAGGCAGCAGUGGGGAAUAUUGCACAAUGGGGGAAACCCUGAUGCAGCGACGCCGCGUGGAGGAAGAAGGUCUGCGGAUUGUAAACUCCUGUUGUUGGGGAAGAUAAUGACGGUACCCAACAAGGAAGUGACGGCUAACUACGUG